GAGGGUAUAGCACAAAUGGUAGAGUGAAUGCUUAGCAUGCACGAGGCCCUGGGUUCAAUUCCCAGUACCUCCA
rnacentral:tRNA from 1 species